rnacentral:lncRNA from 1 species
AGUCACACCUAGCAUUAUGUAGUAGCAACCUAGUAGAACUAAAAAAAAAUCUCAAGAUGUAGUUCACAUAUGAUUCAGUCCCUCUAUCGUGAGUUCCGACUAGAUGGCAAGUCAUGGAUAAAUCAUCAAAUCUCAUCAUCAGUCAUAUAAUAGAUUCGAUCAACUCAAGUCUAAUUAUGAUCUUCAUAGAAACUCUUUUUCAUCAAUCACAAUGCUAUGACCACGGAAUCUCAAACUUAGCCUCUCAAAUCUCAUUGGACUACUCUUUUCUAUCAGAAUCGAUAGAU